rnacentral:rRNA from 1 species
AGAGUUUGAUCCUGGCUCAGAACGAACGCUGGCGGCGUGCCUAACACAUGCAAGUCGAACGUGAAAGUCCUUCGGGAUGAGUAAAGUGGCGCACGGGUGAGUAAUGCGUAGAUAAUCUGCCUGGUGAUCUGGGAUAACAUCUCGAAAGGGGUGCUAAUACCGGAUAAGCCCACGGAGUCUUCGGACUUUGCGGGAAAAGGGGGGGACCUUCGGGCCUUCUGUCACCAGAUGAGUCUACGUACCAUUAGCUAGUUGGUGGGGUAAGAGCCCACCAAGGCUACGAUGGUUAGCUGGUCUGAGAGGAUGAUCAGCCACACUGGAACUGAGACACGGUCCAGACUCCUACGGGAGGCAGCAGUGGGGAAUUUUGCGCAAUGGGGGAAACCCUGACGCAGCAACGCCGCGUGAGUGAUGAAGGCCUUCGGGUCGUGAAGCUCUGUCAGAGGGAAAGGAA